AGUGAACGCUGGCGGUAGGCCUAACACAUGCAAGUCGAACGGCAGCACAGUAAGAGCUUGCUCUUACGGGUGGCGAGUGGCGGACGGGUGAGGAAUAUAUCGGAAUCUACUUUUUCGUGGGGGCUAACGUAGGGAAACUUACGCUAAUACCGCAUACGACCUACGGGUGAAAGCAGGGGAUCUUCGGACCUUGCGCGAUUGAAUGAGCCGAUGUCGGAUUAGCUAGUUGGCGGGGUAAAGGCCCACCAAGGCGACGAUCCGUAGCUGGUCUGAGAGGAUGAUCAGCCACACUGGAACUGAGACACGGUCCAGACUCCUACGGGAGGCAGCAGUGGGGAAUAUUGGACAAUGGGCGCAAGCCUGAUCCAGCCAUGCCGCGUGGGUGAAGAAGGCCUUCGGGUUGUAAAGCCCUUUUAUUGGGAAGGAAAAGCAGCAAGUUAAUACCCCGCUGUUCUGACGGUACCCAAAGAAUAAGCACCGGCUAACUUCGUG
rnacentral:rRNA from 1 species